AAUCCCCACACUGGUACUGAGACACGGACCAGACUCCUACGGGAGGCAGCAGUAAGGAAUAUUGGUCAAUGGAGGGAACUCUGAACCAGCCAUGCCGCGUGCAGGAUGACUGCCCUAUGGGUUGUAAACUGCUUUUGUCCAGGAAUAAACCUUACUACGUGUAGUAAGCUGAAUGUACUGGAAGAAUAAGGAUCGGCUAA
rnacentral:rRNA from 1 species